rnacentral:Y_RNA from 1 species
GGCUGGUCCAAAGGUGGUGAGUUACCUCACUUGAUUGUUCACAGUUAUACAGAUUGAACUCUUUGUUCUACUACUUUCCCCCCUCCUCACUACUGCACUUGACUAGUCUUAA